GAACGGACUAGCACUACAAGUGAAGAAACUACAAGAAGUGGAAAGAACACGGAAAACUAAGCUUUUCAACAUUUUGGGUCAAUUUACAGAAGAAGUUUAAUAACAUCAUUUGUCACUGAGAAUCAAUGAUAAAGUUUUUACAAAAAUCUCUAAACUGGGGUUGAUACAUAAAAAACAACUGCAAGCAAGGAAAAUGCACUGGCAUUUAAACACCGAAGAUUACACUAAUUCCCAGGAGCUGACAUCUUACUUCAAACAAUCUCAGCCCAUGAUGAGCAAGAGCCCAAACUGCCCUGUUUUCUGCCAGCAACAGACAGAUCCAACUCGAACGGAAAGAGCACUGACAGGAUUUCACAAACUGCAAAUUAAGUGGGAUCUUUUCCUGUAGGGACUGAUGCUGCUUAU